UACGUAGGGUGCAAGCGUUAAUCGGAAUUACUGGGCGUAAAGCGUGCGCAGGCGGUUAUGUAAGACAGAUGUGAAAUGCCCGGGCUUAACCUGGGAACUGCAUUUGUGACUGCAUGGCUAGAGUGUGUCAGAGGGGGGUAGAAUUCCACGUGUAGCAGUGAAAUGCGUAGAUAUGUGGAGGAAUACCGAUGGCGAAGGCAGCCCCCCUGGGAUAACACUGACGCUCAUGCAACGAAAGCCGUGGGGGAGCAAACAGG
rnacentral:rRNA from 1 species